rnacentral:tRNA from 1 species
GAAACAUAUUAUUUAAGAAAAAGCUGCUAACUUUAUCUUUAGCAGUGCAAUUCUGUUAAUGUUUCU